rnacentral:rRNA from 1 species
UGGGGAAUCUUGCACAAUGGGCGAAAGCCUGAUGCAGCGACGCCGCGUGGGCGAAGAAGGCCUUUGGGCCGUAAAGCCCUGUCGGGAGGGAAGAAGGAAGCGACGGUACCUCCCAAGGAAGCCCCGGCUAACUACGUGCCAGCAGCCGCGGUAACACGUAGGGGGCGAGCGUUAUCCGGAAUCAUUGGGCGUAAAGGGUGCGUAGGCGGCCUUUUAAGCGCGGGGUCUAAGGCGGUGGCCCAACCACCGUUCGCCCCGCGAACUGGAGGGCUAGAGUGUCGGAGAGGGAAGCGGAAUUCCUAG